CCUACGGGAGGCAGCAGUGGGGAAUAUUGGACAAUGGGCGAAAGCCUGAUCCAGCAAUGCCGCGUGAGUGAUGAAGGCCUUCGGGUCGUAAAGCUCUUUUACCAGGGAUGAUAAUGACAGUACCUGGAGAAUAAGCUCCGGCUAACUCCGUGCCAGCAGCCGCGGUAAUACGGAGGGAGCUAGCGUUGUUCGGAAUUACUGGGCGUAAAGAGUACGUAGGCGGUUAUUCAAGUCAGAGGUGAAAGCCCGGGGCUCAACCCCGGAACUGCCUUUGAAACUAGAUAACUAGAGUCUUGGAGAGGUUAGUGGAAUUCCGAGUGUAGAGGUGAAAUUCGUAGAUAUUCGGAAGAACACCAGUGGCGAAGGCGACUAACUGGACAAGUACUGACGCUGAGGUACGAAAGCGUGGGGAGCAAACAGGAUUAGAUACCCUGGUAGUCCACGCCGUAAACGAUGAUAACUAGUUGUUCGGUCACUUGGUGACUGAGUGACGCAGCUAACGCAUUAAGUUAUCCGCCUGGGGAGUACGGUCGCAAGNUUAAAACUCAAAGGAAUUGACGGNNGAGAGNGCGAGACGACACGAGGAGAG
rnacentral:rRNA from 1 species